GAAGAAAAGACACAAACAAUAGCAAGAUGAACCCUGGAAACAGUGUUAGAUGGGGUGGCGAAGAAGGUUCACGGGAGCAUUGAGAGACUGUAUGCUUGUGGUGGGCAGAAUAAUGUCCUAGUAUGUCUAAGUCCUGAUUAUUGGAACCUGUCAGUAUGUUACCCUCCAUGGCAAAAGGAAUUUUGCAGAUGUGAUUCAGUGAAGGACCUUGAGAUGGGGUGGGAAUCCUGGACUACUCAGGUGAGCCUAAUGUAAUCACAGCUGUUCUUAAAAGUGGAAGAGGGAGGCAGGUGAGUAGAGUCAGAGGGAAAGGUGAUAAAAAUACAAAGGUCUGAGAGGUGCAACAUUGCUGGCUUUGAAUAUGGAUGAAAGUGGCCAAAAAACAAGGACUGUGGGUGGCCCGAUGAAGAUGAAAUAAAAAACCCAAACACAAGGAAACAUAUCAUCUCCUAGAGUCUCCAUAAGGAAAGACAGCAUGGCCAUCACCUUAAUUUUAGGCCAAUGGAACCCAUAUCAGACUUUAAUUGUAGAGAACUCAAAGAUAGUAAAUACGUACUGUUUUAAGCCACUAAAUUUAUGGUGAUUUUUUUUAAAACUCACACAGAUACUUGAACACAGUGCUGAUAUCAGCUAUAUGGCAACUAUGGGGAAGAAGAAUAAGACAUUGGGCUUGUCUUAUUACAGAGGUGGGGAAGGAUCAUCAGGAUCUUCACCUGCCACUCAGCACUAUGGCUUUCCUCCAAUCACGGAGCGUAUCUGCACCCAGCUAUUCCUGUCUGGAACCUGAACAAAGGAAAGCAUUGGAAGAGAGGAUAACUGUAGUCAAGGAAAGUCAAAGAGUGCUAUAAAUGAGGUAGGAAUUCAAGAGGCCAGAUGAAGAGCAGUCAGUAGGGCUGGCACGGACAGUCUGAAAAUCCUUCUCUUGAGUAACCAAACACACAGCUAUCGUUUAUUUGAGCAACAGUGAAGUCUAUGCUGCAAGUGAACCUGGGUAACCCGAGGCACAGGGCCAAACAUCUGGUAACAAUAAAAUCAACACAACGGUAGAAGAAGAUCAAGAAUCCUGUAACCAUAAGAACCUCGGGCAGUCUUCAGUACUGAUGCGUGCCAAGAUAUGUUUGGGCAAGAGAAUAUGGAUGGAAUGUUCAUCUCUUCACCAGAGGGUGACAUGGAAUGCCAGUGAGUCAGGUUUUGUCAGAAGACAGUAUCGAGUUGCAAAGAAGAAGAUUAUCUGCAGAGUAUCUUGUACCUUGAAGUUACUUAGAGGUGAGUCUAAAUUCUGUAUGGUGACACAUGAACCAUAAGCAAGAGAUCAUAUUCAGAAUAGUUCCUUUGGGAGACUGAAGGUUUAUUCUAAUAAUACUGUGAUUGCUCAACAUCUUUUAGGAACUUCCUUUAAAAACUUUGAAAAAUAAUUCUCUUUGUAGGUGAAUAUUAUUUUGAAAACAGGCAAAAGUUAUCCACACUUUUGUGUCGUGAAUGAAUAUGUGUUAUUAACAAAGUGAUGCAGUGUUUUGAAAAGAAAAUAAGGCAUACUAAUGAAAUUACUGGUAUUUUGGAGUUGCUUAAAAUCUGACUGAAAUCAGUGCCAUUAGAAGCCACAAAAAUAUCUUUAUCACAACAAUACUGUGAAAAUAUGUAAAAUGCUUUCUAGAAGGACUAAUUUGGGAAACAACACUCAUGUAAAUGCAUAAGUCUGGCCUGCUUGUUCAAGAAAAGUCUUGGAACUUUAAAAUAUGAAUCCCAUAGGGGCGCCUGGGUGGCUCAGUCGGUUGAACAUCCAACUUUGGUUCAGGUCAUGAUCUCAAGGUUCGU